rnacentral:sRNA from 2 species
UCCAUCUGAUCGCUGAAUUCCCUUUACAGGGAAGCGGGGGACCUAAUCUUUUUGGGGCUAAUCUGGCGCAAAAUGCCGUGUCACGGCAGGGACCGCCAGACGGGUCAGACUUCUUCGAUCCGAGCCCGUCAACUAACCUCGUAAGCGUGGGAGAAGGGGGUG